GACGAACGCUGGCGGCGUGCUUAACACAUGCAAAUCGAACGGUGACGAGGAGCUUGCUCCUCCGAUCAGUGGCGAACGGGUGAGUAACACGUGAGUAACCUGCCCCAGACUCUGGGAUAACAGUUGGAAACAGCUGCUAAUACCGGAUACGAGACGGAGAGGCAUCUCUACCGUCUGGAAAGUUUUUCGGUCUGGGAUGGACUCGCGGCCUAUCAGCUUGUUGGUGAGGUAAUGGCUCACCAAGGCGACGACGGGUAGCCGGCCUGAGAGGGCGACCGGCCACACUGGGACUGAGACACGGCCCAGACUCCUACGGGAGGCAGCAGUGGGGAAUAUUGCACAAUGGGCGAAAGCCUGAUGCAGCGACGCCGCGUGAGGGAUGACGGCCUUCGGGUUGUAAACCUCUUUCAGCAGGGAAGAAGCGAAAGUGACGGUACCUGCAGAAGAAGCACCGGCUAACUACGUG
rnacentral:rRNA from 1 species